rnacentral:rRNA from 1 species
AUUGAACGCUGGCGGCAUGCCUAACACAUGCAAGUCGAACGGCAGCACGGCAGUAGCAAUACUGUGGGUGGCGAGUGGCGGACGGGUGAGGAAUACGUCGGAAUCUGCCCAGUCGUGGGGGAUAACUAGCCGAAAGGUUAGCUAAUACCGCAUACGACCGAGAGGUGAAGGCGGGGGACCGCAAGGCCUCGCGCGAUUGGAUGAGCCGACGUCGGAUUAGCUAGUUGGUGGGGUUAAGGCCCACCAAGGCGACGAUCCGUAGCUGGUCUGAGAGGAUGAUCAGCCACACUGGAACUGAGACACGGUCCAGACUCCUACGGGAGGCAGCAGUGGGGAAUAUUGGACAAUGGGCGCAAGCCUGAUCCAGCAAUGCCGCGUGUGUGAAGAAGGCCUUCGGUUGUAAG